GAAGAUAUGAUUUUUGCUAAUGAUGAUAACAAGACAUUAGCUACUUGGUCUAAUCUACUUGAUCUCUUCCUUGAUUUUUACUUGAGUACCUCAGCUCACCCACAAUAGCAGUGAUGGAGAAGAGAAGAUUCAAGGGGAUUUUUUUUUCUUUCUUUUUUUAUAAAGUUGUUAACUUGAUUCUGUAUGGCCAACAGAUAAAGAUCUGUCUAAAUUUAUUUCUACAUGGCACAGCUAGACUGGCAGGAGCUCACCUACCAUCAUGAAAAAUGUACGGGGAUUCUGGUCAUCAGAACUUGGCCGGCAACAAAGUCUUCAAGCAUUUACACUUGUUCACCAUUUCUUUAUUUUAUGUAGCCACUGUUGCUGCAGUAGGUCCAGUCAACACCUGACAAGUUGCAGUCUACGCUGUGGCUGCUCCACAUGCUCAGUUGCUCCAGUUUCGGCUGUUUUCAUCUUGGACUUUUGUUUUGUUAGUGCAGGGUGCUUAAAGAAGAAGAAUGAUGGAGGAGAUGAGGUGAUGACGCUCUGCUGUGUUACCUGAAAGAGUAUGGCUAGUCUCACAGCUCUAAUCGCAGUUUGUGGAGUCUCAUCAAUAAGAAAUAUUAGUUUUCACUUUGCUACCAUUAGAUAAAAGUAUAUGUAGAAUCCAACUGUGAUUUUUACUAUAACAUUAGAAAAUGUACACUUGGAGCAAACAUUUAAAAGUAUGUGUAUCAUUUUUCA